AAGGGCACCACAAGAACGCGUGGAGCAUGUGGCUUAAUUUGACUCAACGCGGGAAAUCUUACCGGGUCCGGACACACUGAGGAUUGACAGGUAAUAUUAUUUAAAUAUUUGAAAUUUCAAUUUUUUCUCGGAAAUUUUGGAAUGGACUUUAUUUUUAUAUGUAAAUAUGCUAGUCCUUUCAUGAUUAUGUGAUAGGUGGUGCAUGGCCGUUCUUAGUUCGUGGAGUGAUCUGUCUGCUUAAUUGCGUUUCACUAAGAGCUUAUCAAUUUACGUAUGUCUCGCUAGCGUAUUUUGACCCCCAUUUCUUUUUUAACUUUAUAAAGUUUUUUUUGAAUAUUCGUUUCUCUGAAACAAUGUUCUUAAAAUUCUUUUUGUUAUUAAAGAAUUGUGCGCGUGUCAUUUAUGUAUCAAGCAGCAUACAAUUAAGCUCUGAAAGCAACGAACGUGACCGCAACCUCUUGUUGCCUCUAAUUAAUAUCAGUGUUUUGAUUAAAUUGAAAUUUAUUUUGAAGCAGUUUACUGUGGAAGAAUUUUUUUCUCUUUUUUUAUAUGACCUGAUUCAAAGAGGCUUUAAAACUAGAGGGACCGCUGUAACUUUUUUAAACCAGAGGAAGGUUGCGGCAAUAACAGGUCUGUGAUGCCCUUAGAUGUUCCGGGCUGCACACGUGCUACAAUGAUUAUUGCAGUGAGCAUCUCAUAUAUAACACCGCAGUUAACUAAUUUAAAAUUGGCUUUUUUUGGUUUUGCUUUUUUGUUUGAGCAAUUUUAUUCUGAAUUUACUUCGGUAUUUUUGGGAUUUUUUUGUUUGAACGUUUAGAAGUUGAGAUUGAAUUUAGCUUUAUUUUUUUAUUCAGUCAAACUCGGUUAAGCCUGCUUCGAAAGUAAGUAGGUAAUCAAUUAGAAGUAAUGAUUUCCCAAUUUUUAGCACGCCUAUAUGUGGCGUUUAUACCCGGACAUGGGCUUGUUCCUUGUCUUUUGUGUGUAUAGAUGUUUUUUCCGCAUGUGCUUUUAUCAAUUCAAGGUGGGGACAGACCAUUGUUAAUUGUUGGUCUCGGUCUUAACUAGGAAUGCCUUGUACGGGUCUUUGGUUCAACAAACCACCCGGAAUACGUCCCUGCCCUUUGUACACACCGCCCGUCGCUCUUACCGAUGGACUUCUCUGUGAGUUUGAGGGACUGGAUAUUUAGUUUGUUAGGUUCGCUUAAUUAAAUUAAUCUUCUAUGGAAACUUAAACGAACAGUGUGGUCUAAAGGAAAGAGAAGUCGUAACAAGGCAUCGGUAGGUGAACCU
rnacentral:rRNA from 1 species